ACAGUGGACGCGAGCAUCUGUGGCCAAGUUUUUAAGGGCGCACGGUGGAUGCCUUGGCACCAGGAACCGAUGAAGGACGUGGGAGGCCACGAUAGUCCCCGGGGAGCUGUCAACCAAGCUUUGAUCCGGGGGUUUCCGAAUGGGGAAACCCGGCAGUCGUCAUGGGCUGUCACCCGCUGCUGAACACAUAGGCAGUGUGGAGGGAACGAGGGGAAGUGAAACAUCUCAGUACCCUCAGGAAGAGAAAACAACCGUGAUUCCGGGAGUAGUGGCGAGCGAAACUGGAUGAGGCCAAACCGUAUGCGUGUGAUACCCGGCAGGGGUUGCGCAUACGGGGUUGUGGGAUCUCUUUUUCAUAGUCUGCCGGCUGUGAGACGAGUCAGAAACCGUUGAUGUAGGCGAAGGACAUGCGAAAGGUCCGGCGUAGAGGGUAAGACCCCCGUAGCUGAAACAUCAACGGCUCGUUUGAGAGACACCCAAGUAGCACGGGGCCCGAGAAAUCCCGUGUGAAUCUGGCGGGACCACCCGCUAAGCCUAAAUAUUCCCUGGUGACCGAUAGCGGAUAGUACCGUGAGGGAAUGGUGAAAAGUACCGCGGGAGCGGAGUGAAAUAGUACCUGAAACCGUGUGCCUACAAGCCGUGGGAGCGUCGCUGUAUGUGCUUGCACAUGCAGUC
rnacentral:rRNA from 1 species